AUUGAACGCUGGCGGCAUGCUUUACACAUGCAAGUCGAACGGUAACAGGUUAAGCUGACGAGCGGCGAACGGGUGAGUAAUGCAUCGGAACGUGCCCGGUCGUGGGGGAUAACGCAGCGAAAGCUGCGCUAAUACCGCAUACGAUCUGAGGAUGAAAGCGGGGGACCGUAAGGCCUCGCGCGAUCGGAGCGGCCGAUGUCAGAUUAGGUAGUUGGUGGGGUAAAGGCCCACCAAGCCGACGAUCUGUAGCUGGUCUGAGAGGACGACCAGCCACACUGGGACUGAGACACGGCCCAGACUCCUACGGGAGGCAGCAGUGGGGAAUUUUGGACAAUGGGCGAAAGCCUGAUCCAGCAAUGCCGCGUGCAGGAAGAAGGCCUUCGGGUUGCAAACUGCUUUUGUACGGAGCGAAAAGGUCCUUUCUAAUACAAGGGGCUCAUGACGGUACCGUAAGAAUAAGCACCGGCUAACUACGUGCCAGCAGCCGCCGUAA
rnacentral:rRNA from 1 species